rnacentral:rRNA from 1 species
GGGUCAGUAGGUUGGUCGUGCCACCGGUACGUACUGGCCUCACUGAUUCCUCCUCCCUGAAGAACCGUAAUGCCAUUAAUUUGGUGUUGCGGGGAAACAGGACUGUUACUUUGAAAAAAUUAGAGUGUUUAAAGCAAGCUAACGCUUGAAUACAUUAGCAUGGAAUAAUGAAAUAGGACGAUCGAUCCUAUUUUGUUGGUUUCUAGGAUUGACGUA